rnacentral:rRNA from 1 species
CCUACGGGAGGCAGCAGUGGGGAAUAUUGCACAAUGGGGGAAACCCUGAUGCAGCGACGCCGCGUGAGUGAAGAAGUAUUUCGGUACGUAAAGCUCUAUCAGCAGGGAAGUAAAUGACGGUACCUGACUAAGAAGCCCCGGCUAACUACGUGCCAGCAGCAGCGGUAAUACGUAGGGGGCAAGCGUUAUCCGGAUUUACUGGGUGUAAAGGGAGCGUAGACGGCAGCGCAAGUCUGGAGUGAAAUCCCAUGGCUUAACCAUGGAACUGCUUUGGAAACUGUGCAGCUAGAGUGCAGGAGAGGUAAGCGGAAUUCCUAGUGUAGCGGUGAAAUGCGUAGAGAUUAGGAGGAACACCAGUGGCGAAGGCGGCUUACUGGACUGUAACUGACGUUGAGGCUCGAAAGCGUGGGGAGCAAACAGGAUUAGAUACCCCAGUAGUC